UCUCUGGCCAGUUAACGCUGUGAACUCAGGCAUUCAGCCCAGCAGUUCCCCUGCAGCCCCGUUCCCCUGCCCCUCUCCUGAACUGGCAAGACCAUAUGUGCAAGGGGAAGGAGUGUCUUCAGAGCUACUUUCCUUCACAGAGAAAAAAGGAGCAGGAAAAAGAGACACUGGGCAGGGGAUUGCCUCCUGGACUGGUCAGACCCUGGCUUCUCAAUCCUACACAAGCAAGGAUGAAGAACAGUCCUGAAACGCUUUAGGAGGGACAGCAGGAUCUGAUGGUGGGAUGCUGAGGUCUGGAGUCUCACAGGUGCACUGCUGGCUAUGUGCUCUCUGGUUUUGGGAGCUGCUGCCUCGCACUGGUCUCUGGUCUCCCAUCGAUGCAGUGUCGACCCAGCAGCAUCCUGCCCUGACGGAGAGAAGUUCCAAGCAUCAAACAUCAAGAACAGGUCCCAUGGAGACAAGGCCACACAGCAGCUUCCAUGUGUCAGCGUUCCCGCUGCGUCCUUCCCACAGGCAUUCCGAAUUCGGCUGCUCACAUACACAGCUCUG
rnacentral:lncRNA from 1 species